CAGAAAAGGGCAGGGAAGACCCCUACCGGAGCACAACCGCCGCGUCCCGAGAGCCCACUGUGAUGUCAGCAAGGCCAUCACCAUCGAAAUCUAAACCACCAGACACAGACAUGCCGAAGUAGUGGAGUCCGGAGGCCACACGGGAGGCUCUGAUCUGCUGCGGGAGGAGAAAGAGAAGCUUCACCUCUCUCUUCCCUUCAGCAGCACCACCCACCUCCUCACCCUGGGGAUGAACUGUCUCUGAGCAAGUGACGUCAGGGUGGAUGCCUGAAGGGCAGAUGCCAUGGCAAAGCCGAAGCGGCUACUGGUGAGCCCAGGGUGCCCACUAAGUGUGUGUGCCAGGGAGAAGAAAGCGUCCUGCAAAAUGAACCGACAGCUCAGUUCCCGCGAAAGAUUGCUAUAUUGGCCACAGAGAGGCUUAGGGUCCAGCUGCAGCUCUCUCAUACCCUCGCUGGGAAAGCUUGAGCCAGCUCAGCGUCACUGGCUCGCCAAAUCCCUUCCUCUUCAUCUGUAAUGUGACAGUGAGAGCCACUGUCAUAGUUACUGUGAGAAACCGUGAGACCAGAGCAAGUUUCCAUCUACUGGGCAACUGUGGCAGAUGCUACCUGCUACCAGCAAUCACCCAGAUAAGAAACAGAGGACAGCCAUUCACACGGAACACCCAUGAGCACUGUCGCUCUCACCAAAGACACUCACACGAGGAAACUAUGAACCAAGAGCCCCUCAUUCCCUGGUAGCACAUCUUGGGGACCCUGCUGGUGCUGAGUGGGCCACAAACCUUGUCCAGGAUCUGGGCACUGAAGCCAGUCUGCGCGAGUUGAUAUUGAAGAGCAUCUCCAACUGUGCCUGGAAGCCAAAGAAACUGAUGAAACCUGCUGUGCCAACUGGCAGGCUUGCUCAGCAGCCCAUCCAGAGCCGAGUAGUUGGUCACCUUGAAAGUGUGGGCCUCUUUGGGUUCUGAGGCAAUCAGCUUCAGUUCUCUGUAAGUGUUAUUUUUCUUGAAUGCAUCGCCCACCUGUAUGAAGACACCAGUCAGUGAGUGAUCCAUCACCGUCUCCUCCUUCCUCCUUCCUGCUCACUGUCAUUGUCCUUCACUCCCAAUAAAGCUCCACUUUUGGCAGUAUGUUCCUGACA